rnacentral:misc_RNA from 1 species
CAACGUUAAUAUUUAAAUUCUUUUGAGGAUUAUCUUAUUUAUUUCUAUUUAAAGACAAUGAAUAACAUAGAAGAUGAUUCAAAGCCAACUGAAUUAAAAAUAAACCAGGAGAGGUUACUUGUUGUGAGAGAUGAAUAUCAAAGAUUAUGCUAUGAAAUGAAAAAGAAAGAAAUGUCUCGUCACACCACACACACAAAGAUGCAACAACAGAUAAGAAAGCAAUGGGAAAUAAUAUCUGAAUUAAAGAAGCAAAAGUCAGAACUAACUUUACAGCUACGACUGCAAGAGGGUGAUAGUUUCUCAAACAAAGCUAACCAAAAUUUAGAACGAUUUCGAAAAGCUUUAGAUGAAAUGAUAAGGCUGGAAAAUCUUUUGACGAAGCAGACUGAGGAAUUGAAAAAUUAUAAACGAGAUAUAUCAGAAGUUGACAAAAAAACUAGAGUGAAGCAAAAGGAAGUUGUCAAAGCCCUGCGUAGUUCGAGUAGGGUUCUUAAGCACCAGCAAAAUAUUUCCUUUCUGGAAAAUCGCUUAAAUGGAAGCUUGCAUAAAUACAAUCAACUUCUCAUAUCUAAUAAUAACUUGAGAGAGGAUAUCAACUCUUUGCUUCUCACUCAAAGUUCAUUUCGUAGAAAGUACAGUAACAUCAAACGAUUAUUAGCCUUGGGUAGGAAAACUUUAUUGGAGGUUGUUCAUUCUGCUACUAUGUCAUAUCAAACAGGAGAAUCUGUGAAAUACAAGCUGAAUCUUGUGAAUGAAAGAACUCAAGUGGAUCAGAAACGUUUGGGUGAGAAGAUUAAAGAAUUAAAAAUUUUAGUGGAGCAAGAUGAACAGUUGAAGUCAUUUUUAGAGUUUAAAUCAAGAGACGGAGUGGCAAAUAGUGAAGAGAAGGAGCUAGAGACUCGAAAUGAACAAAUAAUGGAGCAGCGCCUGCUGUCAUAUCACAGAAUAAUGGCCCGAAUUCAACUUGCUUCUGGAUGCAAGGAUGUCAAUCGCAUAUGCAAGGCAUACCUUGUGGAGGAGGAAAGUAACCUGGCUUUAUUUGAAAAGGUGAAUAAUAUGAGUAUAGAAAUUGAGAACUUGCAUGAAGAGGUCAGAGCUCAAAGAGAAGAGUUAGAUAUUCUGAGCCGCCAGUAUAAAGAGCAAAAUCGAAAAGAUUUGGCUGUAAGAAAUGAUAUUGAGGUUUGCAAUGCAUCUUAAUCAUCAUUAUUUCUAAAUAAUGCAUUGCAAUAAAGGAUUUCUGGGGUCUUUCACCUUCAAUGCAAAUAAUUUUUUGGAAGAAAAAUUAUUAUUUUUUGUUUAUUUUUAAUUGUACUGAUAUGUUGAGAAUGGAAGCACAAGAGUUAGAAGACGCUUCUGAUUUAAAAGCAGAAGAAUUGGAAGCAAUUAAGAGUGCUUUGAAGAGAAUUUAUAAUUUCUUGGAUAAUUUUUCUUCUCACCGAGUUGCAUUCACUGUAGAUGAAGGAAUAACUGAUGAUAAUGUGCUUCAAUAUUUGGAAGCCUUAGAAAGGAGAAUAAUUGAUGUUAUCCGCUGUCAUAAACUCGUGACUGAAUUG